rnacentral:rRNA from 1 species
UGGGGAAUCUUCCGCAAUGGGCGAAAGCCUGACGGAGCAACGCCGCGUGAGCGAAGAAGGCCUUCGGGUUGUAAAGCUCUGUGAUAUUGGACGAAAAAUCUCCUUGCGAACAGAGGGGAGAAAAGACGGUACAGUAAGAGGAAGCCCCGGCUAACUACGUGCCAGCAGCCGCGGUAACACGUAGGGGGCAAGCGUUGUCCGGAUUUAUUGGGCGUAAAGAGCUCGUAGGCGGUUCGGUAAGUCGGGUGUGAAACCUCCAGGCUCAACCUGGAGACGCCACCCGAUACUGCUGUGACUAGAGUCCAGUAGGGGAGCGUGGAAUUCCAGGUGUAGCGGUGAAAUGCGCAGAUAUCAGGAGGAACACCGGUGGCGAAGGCGGGUCUCUGGGCCGAUACUGACGCUGAGGAGCGAAAGCGUGGGGAGCGAA